UGAAAGGAUGUCUCGCUAAAGCAAACACAUGAAAGAUUGUUUUCCUGAAGCAGUCACAGGUGAAAGAGUGAUUGGAUAUAGCAGACUUGUGAAAGAUGUGUGAAACUCUUGAUGAAGGAGAAUAAAUAUGAUCCCACAGACAGUGAAAAACGGGCACUGAGCUUUGGUUUGGGCUCUGCCUCUCCAUUCUUUGUUAAAGACAUGCAUUGAUUUGCCUUACAUAGCAUUGUUGAGCUCAACUUGUGAUAAUGCUGCAUUGAGAGAAACUUGCCCAAGAACUUCUCGUGAGGUUCCUGCAGCAGCUUGCCACUUUUGUGACCUCACCUCAGGCUGGUUGGAGAUACUGGAGGUUUCUUCAGGAUUGAACCGCAGCUGCCUGGUGUCUGAUUGCUGAAAGGACUAGACUAUAGCUGCUGGUUCGUGUGUGCUGCCUGCCCGCCUAGAGGACUGGUCUGCAGCUGCUAAGAUGUGUUUGGUGUUUGCUACGGGAUUGAACUGCUGCCCAAGAAGAUGGAGCUCACCCCAAAGAACUAUUGCUGAACAGAAAAGAUGGCAGACUUGGCUGUGCAUGGAUUGCAACUAGAAGUCAAAGUGCUUAGAAAGCAAAAGGAGCCAGGGGGAGAACAGAGUUCGAGCUUGGUGAAUGAGCCUGGGAAUGGACUGCACGAUGAAAAGGGGAAAGAAAAUAGGCUGGAAGGAAGAUAUUGUGAAUCUAUCUGAUUGAAGUAAAAUAGAAUAGAAGAACCAG